rnacentral:snRNA from 1 species
UUGAUUGUGGUAUAUCCUGA